CCCCGGGAGGGGAGUGAAAGAGAACCUGAAACCAUAUGCCUACAAGAAGUCAGAGCCCGUUAAAGGGUGAUGGCGUGCCUUUUGUAGAAUGAACCGGCGAGUUACUGUAUGGAGCGAGGUUAAGCAGGAUAUGCGGAGCCGAAGCGAAAGCGAGUCUUAAGAGGGCGAGAGUUGCAUGCAGUAGACCCGAAACCGGGUGAUCUAGCCAUGACCAGGUUGAAGUUGGGGUAAAACCCGAUGGAGGACCGAACCGACCCCCGUUGAAACGUUGGCGGAUGAGUUGUGGCUAGGGGUGAAAUUCCAAUCGAACCCGGAGAUAGCUGGUUCUCCCCGAAAUAGCUUUAGGGCUAGCGUCGAGGUAAGUUGCGUGAAGGUAGAGCACUGAAUAUGUGAUGGCCCCAUCUCGGGGUACUGAGCAUAAUCAAACUGCGAAUGUCACGCCAACAUGCUCGGCAGUCAGACAGCGGGUGAUAAGGUCCGUUGUCAAGAGGGAAACAGCCCAGACCAUCAGCUAAGGUCCCAAAAUGUAUGCUAAGUGGAAAAGGAUGUGGAGAUGUACAGACAACUAGGAGGUUGGCUCAGAAGCAGCCAUCCUUUAAAGAGUGCGUAACAGCUCACUAGUCGAAUGACUCUGCGCCGAUAAUUUACCGGGGCUAAGCAUACUACCGAAGCUAUGGAUCCCAAGGGAUGGUAGGGGAGCGUUCCAUGAACGGAGAAGUACGACCGAAAGGACGUGUGGAGAUCAUGGAAGAGAGAAUGCCGGUGUGAGUAGCGGAACGUGGGUGAGAAUCCCACGCACCGAAAACCCAAGGUUUCCAGAGGAAGGUUCGUCCGCUCUGGGUAAGUCGGGACCUAAGGCGAGGCCGAAAGGCGUAGUCGAUGGACAACAGGUAGAGAUUCCUGUACCCGUAUAUAUGUGAAGGAAUGACGGAGAGAGGAAGCUGCAGCCAGCGGCUGGAAGAGCUGGUGCAAGCGAGAUAUCGGGAUGGCAGGCAAAUCCACCAUCCGAAACGAGAAGGCGUGAAGCGUACGGAAAGCUACGGCGAGUACGGAAGGCAGUGGAGGAACUUCCAAGAAAAGUUUCUAACGUAAAGUAUAUAUGGCCCGUACCGAAAAUGGACACACAUGGGUGAGGAGAGAAUCCUAAGGUGAGCGAGAGAACUAUAGCUAAGGAACUCUGCAAAAUGACUCCGUAACUUAGGGAGAAGGAGUGCUCAUAGAGAUAUGAGCCGCAGUGAAACGGCCCAAGCGACUGUUUACCAAAAACACAGCUCUCUGCUAAGCCGCAAGGCGAAGUAUAGGGGGUGACGCCUGCCCGGUGCUGGAAGGUUAAGGGGAGGGGUUAACGCAAGUGAAGCCCUGAACUGAAGCCCCAGUAAACGGCGGCCGUAACUAUAACGGUCCUAAGGUAGCGAAAUUCCUUGUCAGGUAAGUUCUGACCCGCACGAAAGGCGUAACGAUUUGGGCGCUGUCUCAGCUGUAGACUCGGUGAAGUCUUAGUACCUGUGAAGAUGCAGGUUACCCGCGACUAGACGGAAAGACCCCAUGGAGCUUCACUGCAGGUUGAUAUUGGGAUUUGAUGCAGCAUGUACAGGAUAGGUAGGAGGCAAAGAGAUGGAUACGCCAGUAUUCAAGGAGCCGCUGUUGGGAUACUACCCCUGUUGUAUUGGAUUUCUAACCGGACGACGUAGAGCCGUUGACGGGACAGUGUCAGUCGGGCAGUUUGACUGGGGCGGUCGCCUCCCAAAGAGUAACGGAGGCGCCCAAAGAUACCCUCAGCUUGGAUGGAAACCAAGCGCAGAGUGCAAAGGCAAAAGGGUGUUUGACUGCGAGACCCACAAGUCGAGCAGG
rnacentral:rRNA from 1 species